rnacentral:rRNA from 1 species
AACGUAGGAGACAAACGUUAUCCGGAGUUACUGGGCGUAAAGGGCGUGUAGGUGGUUUCGUAAGUCUGGCGUGAAAUUUCUCGGCUUAACCGAGGCAGGUCGUCGGAUACUGCGGAACUUGAGGACGGUAGAGGCGUGUGGAAUUCCGGGGUGUAGUGGUGAAAUGCGUAGAGAUCGGGAGGAACACCCGUGGCGAAGGCGGCUCCCUGGCCGAACACUGACGCUGAGACGCGAAAGCGUGGGGAGCGAACGGG